rnacentral:rRNA from 1 species
CCGUAGGUGAACCUGCGGAGGGAUCAUUACAGAGUUCAUGCCCUUACGGGUAGAUCUCCCACCCUAUGUUAUUAUUACUUUGUUGCUUUGGCGGGCCGUUAGGCUCUUGGCCCGGCUACCGGCUUAGGCUGGUAAGUGCCCGCCAGAGGACCCUAAACUCUGAAUAUUUUUGUCGUCUGAGUACUAUAUAAUAGUUAAAACUUUCAACAACGGAUCUCUUGGUUCUGGCAUCGAUGAAGAACGCAGCGAAAUGCGAUAAGUAAUGUGAAUUGCAGAAUUCAGUGAAUCAUCGAAUCUUUGAACGCACAUUGCGCCCCUUGGUAUUCCGAGGGGCAUGCCUGUUCGAGCGUCAUUACAACCCUCAAGCAUAGCUUGGUAUUGGGCUCGCUACUUACCUAGCGGGCCUUAAAAUCAGUGGCGGUGCCGUCGAGGCCCUGAGCGUAGUAAAUAUCCUCGCUAUAGGGACUCGGUAGGCAGUAGCCAUCAACCCCAACUUUCUAAGUUUGACCUCGGAUCAGGUAGGGAUACCCGCUGAACUUAAGCAUAUCAAUAAGCCGGAGGAAA